AGGGAGAGAGAGAGACGGAGGCGACUUUAGGGUUUCACUCCUGUCGCCGGCGCCCCAGGCCGCAAGCCCGGAACAGAAUCUUCCUCUUCCGCCGUCGCCCCCGGCCGGAACAGAGGCUCGCCGCUCCCGCCGGCGAACCGGAGCUACAGGCGCAUCCGGCGGGCCGCUCUGCACCGGAGGCCGUCGUCCCCGAGCACAUUUCCGGCGGAAUCGCGCGUCUCCUCCUUCACCGGAUCUCCCUCCGCCCAACCCGCAGCGGCCGUCGUCUCCGACGGCCUGUUCCGCAUCUCGGCCGCCCUCCUGUGCCUGCAGCUUCCUCCUCCCACCUCAGCAUUCCGUCUAUCUGGCCGGCAUCUCCUCCACAGAGUGUUCAGUGAUGUGUACUGAGCAGUAACAAGAUCUCUUCCAACACUUGUGCCGUCUGAUUGCUUGCUUAUGGUCUUGGUUAACACAGUACCAUGGAUCCCGAUCCCGCCACUGACACCACUCUUGUUUUUGAAAAAGAUGUACUGGAAACAGUUUUUACUCAAGCUGCACCUUAUGUUGUAAGGCUUAAUAUGCGGCCCGUCCGUACAGGCCUCCUUAUUGGAUCAACAGAAUUGCAUGCUUUGGUAUCUGUUGACUCUUCUACGCUGACCGAAUUGCCCAUAUCGGUUCAGUUUUAUAAUCAGAAGAAAGCUGCAAUUGUUCAGAAGGUGGGGCAACUUCCUCGGUGCAGUAUUACUAUCCUGUUUACAGACCGCAUGCGCAACCCGUUGCCUCCUGUUCAAUUUGCUGAUUUGGAUCCCAAUGACAAUGUGUGCGAGAAGGUGGUGUCUCUUUUCCCCUAUAUGGAUGGAAUUUCUAUGUUCGAUGGACAUGUUGUGUUAAAUAAUUGCACUUCCAUGGGUAGGGGGGGGAACUAUUCAGCCAGGAUCCGCAGACUUGUUUGCAUUUACUUGCACAAACACGGUCCUAUUUCACACACCAAGAAACGAUGAUGAAGCAAAACUGGUAGCGGAACAUCUUCAAAAGAUUGCUGGUGCUGCUGUGUUCAACUUAAAGGGCGAGGUUGUUGGCAUACUAAGUUCAUAUGCUAGAGGUUAUGAUGUGAAACUGGCCAAGAAGUCAUCUUACUUUAAAAAGCACUUUGAUAAACUGGGAGACAAACAAGUGAAGUGGCUGAUGGGGCAGGGGGAGUUCUCUAAGUCGGAGAUCCUGAGGAAGCCUAAUAUCUGAAGACGCUCGAUGCUUUUUGGGUAAUUCUCGCAGUUGUAUUUUACAUCCUAACUUUUUUUGGUGCCCACCGUGAUAUUCAUAAUACUCCUCCAUUCCUGGUUGGUGGUAGUUUUUGUGAGACAUGAUCAACUAGACGGUGAGGUACCCGUACCUAAGUAGCUAUGGAAAGAACAACAAGUUAGCUAUGUCGCGGCCAGCGGUGACUUCCUCAGUACCAGGGCCCAUACCCAAGAAUAGGGUGAUGGAGCAUGGGUGGAGGCAUUCAAAUGUCGAGCUUUCUGGAUAACAGCGACAAUCUGAACAAUUCACCUAUAUCGAGAAUUUUUUGGUGCACAUAAAGGACCAUGGUGAUUUCUGUGGUUUUAAUUUUAGCAAGUGA